CCUACGGGUGGCAGCAGUGAGGAAGAGUGGUCAAGGGGCGCGAGCCUGAACCAGCCAAGUAGCGUGAAGGAUGACUGCCCUACGGGUUGUAAACUUCUGUUAUAAAGGAAUAAAGUGAGGCACGUGUGCCUUGUUGUAUGUACGUUAUGAAUAAGGAUCGGCUAACUCCGUGCCAGCAGCCGCGGUAAUACGGAGGAUCCGAGCGUUAUCCGGAUUUAUGGGGUUGAAAGGGAGCGUAGAUGGGUUGUUAAGGCAGUUGUGAAAGUUUGCGGCUCAACCGUAAAAUUGCACUUGUUACUGGCAGUCUUGCGUACAGUUGUGGUCGUCGGACUUCGUGGUGUAGCGGU
rnacentral:rRNA from 1 species